rnacentral:ncRNA from 1 species
UGAAAUCGUUCUUAGAUAAAGCUUGGGUGAAACUAAGUGGAGGUCCGAACUGACUGAUGUUGAAGAAUCAGCGGAUGAAUUGUGGUUAGAGGUGAAAUGCCACUCGA